rnacentral:lncRNA from 11 species
AUCCCUGACUCUUUGUUACUUUUUAGCUGAAGUUCUUCAAACUGAGAAGCAAAUGAUGUGGCACUGACAACACACAGCAUGUUAGCUGCAUUGUCCUUUUCAUAAUAUGAAGAUACUGACAAAAACAAAUGGAACAGAAUUCACAAGCUUUCCCAUUGGCCAGAUUCACAUCUUUUCUUCCAACACGAUGGGUGCAACUACUGUCAGCAUGGAGAUAACAAGGCAACAUCUACCUGACCUGCCUGGCAGGACCGAGUGCAGGGUCUACCCAGAUGAUCUUCAUCUUCGAGGUGGUUCAUAAAGGAAGAUAUGUUCGGACAGGGAAGUGUAAGCAGCCCAUGGAGCAGCCAUUUCUCUGAUAGAAAAAGGAGGAGAGAAAAGGAGAAAGACAAGCUUCCUGCAGAACAAAAUUUCAGAGAUGUCAUGCUGUUUCUGGAGAGAGGAUUUGGGAUGAAAAGAGAUGUCCUCAAAAAGAUCAUGGUCCUUGAUAAACACCUUUCAAAACAUGCCAGCUGA